rnacentral:tRNA from 1 species
GAAGUAGUGGCUGAAUUAAAGUGGUAAAUUGUAAAUUUAUUAAUAAGGAUAAUCCUUCUAUUUCA